ACGGAAGUAACGAAGGGCGCACGGGGGAUGCCUAGGCUCUCGGAGGCGACGAAGGACGUGAUAAGCUGCGAUAAGCUUGGGGGAGGGGCACAUACCCGCUGAUCCCAGGAUUUCCGAAUGGGGCAACCCACUUGGUUGAAGACCAAGUAUUCGAUCCGCAAGGACGAAGGCGAACGCGGGGAACUGAAACAUCUAAGUACCCGCAGGAACAGAAAAUAACAAUGAUUCCCCCAGUAGUGGCGAGCGAACGGGGACGAGCCCAAACCGGGUUGGUUACGGCCAGCCCGGGGUUGUAGGACCACGGCGUGGGACCUUUUUACGGUAGUCGAAACAGGUGGGAAACUGUACCAGAGACGGUGAGAGUCCGGUAGACGACAUUGUAAGAGGCCCUAGUGGACUCCUGAGUAGGGCGGGGUUGGAGACGCCCCGUCCGAAUCCGCCGGCACCAUCCGGCAAGGCUACAUACUCCCGAGAGACCGAUAGUGAACCAGUACCGUGAGGGAAAGGUGAAAAGAACCCCGGAUAGGGGAGUGAAAAGAACCUGAAACCGUGCGCUUACAAGCGGUCGGAGCCCCGGUUGUGGGGUGACGGCGUGCCUUUUGCAUAAUGAGCCUACGAGUUGCUCCUCCCUGGCAAGGUUAAGCGCUUGGAAGCGCGGAGCCGCAGCGAAAGCGAGUCUGAACAGGGCGCAGAGUCAGGGGGGGCAGACGCGAAACUUUGUGAUCUACCCAUGGGCAGGGUGAAGGUUGGGUAACACCAACUGGAGGCCCGAACCAGUUUCCGUUGAAAAGGAUUUGGAUGACCUGUGGGUAGGGGUGAAAGGCCAAUCAAACUGAGAAAUAGCUCGUACUCCCCGAAAUGUAUUGAGGUACAGCGUCGUGGUCGAGUCACCUGGAGGUAGAGCUACCGAUUGGACUAGGGGGUGUCACAGCCUACCGAAUCCAGACGAACUCCGAAUGCCACGGUGAUAUACACGGCAGUGAGGCCUGGGGUGCUAAGGUCCCAGGCCGAGAGGGAAAGAACCCAGACCAUCCGCUAAGGUCCCUAAAUCCGGGCUAAGUUGAACAAAGGAGGUCCAGUUGCCUUGACAGCCAGGAUGUUGGCUUGGAAGCAGCCAUUCAUUUAAAGAGUGCGUAACAGCUCACUGGUCGAGCGACAGGGCAUCGAUAAUACGCGGGCAUCAAGUCCGGUACCGAAGCGAUGGGUUGCAGCUUGCUGCAGCGGUAGGGGAGCAUUCCAGCAGCGGCGAAGCCGCGACCGGGAGGCGCGGUGGAGCGGCUGGAAAAGCAAAUGUAGGCAUGAGUAACGAUAAUGGGGGUGCGAAACCCCCACGCCGAUAGACUAAGGUUUCCUGCUCAACGCUAAUCGGAGCAGGGUUAGUCGGGACCUAAGGCUAAGCCGACAGGCGAUGACCGAUGGCCAGCUGGUUGAUAUUCCAGCACUUGUUUUGUGGAGUGAUGCGGUGACGGAGAAGUGAAAGGCACGCGGGCGGACGGAAGUGCCCGUUGAAGCGCGUAGGUAUAGCCGGGGUAGUGAAGUACGCCCCGGUUGCUGAACCGCGAUAGUAGGCCAAGCCCCUCGGGGCGCGGCCAUAGUUGCCCUAAUCAGACUCCCAAGAAAACCCGCUAAGCGUUUACCGCAAGACGACCCGUACCGCAAACCGACACAGGUAGUCAAGGAGAGCAUCCUGAGGCGCUCGAGUGAAUCACGGCCAAGGAACUCGGCAAAAUGGUCCUGUAACUUCGGGAGAAGGGACGCUUCCUGGCAGCAAUGCCAGAAGCCGCAGUGAAAAGGCCCAGGCGACUGUUUAACAAAAACACAUGGCUUUGCGAACUCGCAAGAGGAAGUAUAAGGCCUGACACCUGCCCGGUGCCGGAAGGUUAAGAGGGGGACUUAGCCGCAAGGCGAAGGUCUGAAUCGAAGCCCCGGUAAACGGCGGCCGUAACUAUAACGGUCCUAAGGUAGCGAAAUUCCUUGUCGGGUAAGUUCCGACCUGCACGAAUGGUGUAACGAUCUGGGCGCUGUCUCAGCCGUGAGCUCGGUGAAAUUGUAGUCUCGGUGAAGAUGCCGAGUACCCGCCACGGGACGGAAAGACCCCGUGCACCUUUACUACAGCUUGACAUUGACCCUGGGCACCGCAUGUGUAGCAUAGGUGGGAGGCGUUGAACCGGGGCCGCUAGGUCUCGGGGAGCCGACGUUGAAAUACCACCCUUGCGUUGCUUGGGGCCUAAUCUCGGACGACGGGAAACAGUGUCUGGUGGGUAGUUUGACUGGGGUGGUCGCCUCCAAAAGUGUAUCGGAGGCUUUCAAAGGUCCGCUCAAUCCGCUUGGUAACCGGAUGCAGAGCGCAAUAGCAGAAGCGGGCUUGACUGUGAGGCGUACAGGCCGAGCAGGGUCGAAAGACGGAUAUAGUGAUCCGGUGGUUCCGCAUGGAAGGGCCAUCGCUCAAAGGAUAAAAGGUACGCCGGGGAUAACAGGCUGAUCUCCCCCAAGAGCUCAUAUCGACGGGGAGGUUUGGCACCUCGAUGUCGGCUCGUCACGUCCUGGGGCUGGAGAAGGUCCCAAGGGUUCGGCUGUUCGCCGAUUAAAGUGGCACGCGAGCUGGGUUCAGAACGUCGUGAGACAGUUCGGUCCCUAUCUGUGGCGGGCGUUGGAAUGUUGACAGGACCUGACCUUAGUACGAGAGGACCGGGUUGGACCAGCCGCUGGUGUACCAGUUGUGCCGCCAGGUGCAGCGCUGGGUAGCUACGCUGGGUCGAGAUAAGCGCUGAAAGCAUCUAAGUGCGAAACUCACCUGAAGAUGAGCAUUCCGUUCAAGAAGGUCCGUGGUAGAUCACCACGUCGAUAGGCCGCAGGUCUUAAGCCGGAGACGGCCAGCCGAGCGGUACUAAUGAACCGAACGCUUCCGAAU
rfam:Cytophagales bacterium MC1A Contig_22, whole genome shotgun sequence.